CCCUUAGAUGUUCUGGGCCGCACGCGCGCUACACUGAUGCAUUCAACGAGUUUCUUCCUGGUCCGAGAGGAAUGGGUAACCUUUUGAAAGUGCAUCGUGAUAGGGAUAGACUAUUGCAAUUAUUGGUCUUCAACGAGGAAUUCCUAGUAGACGUAGUUCAUCAGACUGCAUCGAUUACGUCCCUGCCCUUUGUACACACCGCCCGUCGCUCCUACCGAUUGAAUGCUCAGGUGAGCCAUUCGGACUUUCAUCAUGCUGGUUUCCAGUUUUGAUGAAGGAAAGUCUUGCGAACCUUAUCAUUGAGAGGAAGGAGAAGUCGGAACA
rnacentral:rRNA from 1 species